rnacentral:lncRNA from 1 species
CUUCAUGUUGCCCUUUUUUUUUUUUUCAGAUGGAAUCUUGCUCUCUUGCUCAGACUGGAGUACAGUGGCGUGACCUUGGCUCACUGCAACCUCACCUCUCGGGUUCAAGCGAUUCUGCCCCAGCCUCUCGAGUAGCUGGGACUACAGGUGGGAGACCUCCACAGAACCCUUCCAGCAAGCUGUCUUCUAAAGCAAACAAGAAAAGGAAAGUCUGAGCAGUUUUGAUUAGAUUUCCCAGAAGUCAAAGCAAGGAAAAAUGAAAAAGCUUCAUUUCUCACGUUCUUAAAAGAGAGCACAGAUGUUGCAUCAUCUGGUUAGAUACCCUGAGAAUAAAAUCUGGAUCCAGUGAGAGGAAAGAUUCUGGGUGCUCAUGAAAAAAGAAACAAAACAAAACUUGGGAGCCUCUUGAGAGUGUACAGCAUCAGCCCUUGCCAACUCUUGUUUAUAUGCAUUUAACUUUCAGUUAACCAUGGGAAUAAUUCAUGAAAAUCCAAUCUACAAACAAAGGCCAUCCCAACGUUCAUGUUAUUCUUUUCCCUAAGAAUCUUUCACAAGAGCUAUAAUAAAGUAGAAUUAUGCUUUGAUUUGAAUUCUAAUUCAAUUGAAAAUAAAAAAUGAGGGCCGGACGCGGUGGCUCAUGCCUGUAAUCCCAGCGCUUUGGGAGGCCGAGGUGGACGGAUCACGAGGUCAGGAGAUCGAGACCAUCCCGGCUAACACGGUGAAACCCGAUCCCUACUAAAAAUACAAAAAAUUAGCCGGGCGUGGUGGCAGGCGCCUGUAGUCCCAGCUACUCGGGAGGCUGAGGCAGGAGAAUGGCGUGAACCCAGGAGGCAGAGGUUGCAGUGAGCCGAGAUCAUGCUACUGCAC